CUCCCUUCCUGGUUGCACAGAGGGCUGGUGUCUGGGACGGGGAUCUGUAAGUUUUUUUCCCCUUUAAAUAAAUACCACCCUAUUAAUCAUAACUCCAAACUGGUGUGGCAUUGUUCGUGACUUUCGCCUUCAGUAAUGAAUAUGGGACCAAGUGCUCACUAUUUGAUCUGAAUCACUGGCUGGAGACCAUAAAAUCCUUUGUAUUACAUGAGUGAGUCCUGAGAUUCAUCACCAUCAAUAAUCAAGGUUACGUAAAUGUCUCUUAGAGUUUGGCUGAAGACUAUCAUAAACUAAAAUGCCAAAAAUAGAAACAAGAACUGCUAAUCCAG